rnacentral:rRNA from 1 species
UGGGGAAUAUUGCACAAUGGGCGAAAGCCUGAUGCAGCGACGCCGCGUGAGGGAUGACGGCCUUCGGGUUGUAAACCUCUUUCAGCAGGGAAGAAGCGAAAGUGACGGUACCUGCAGAAGAAGCGCCGGCUAACUACGUGCCAGCAGCCGCGGUAAUACGUAGGGCGCAAGCGUUGUCCGGAAUUAUUGGGCGUAAAGAGCUCGUAGGCGGUUAGUCGCGUCUGCUGUGAAAACUCGAGGCUCAACCUCGGGCUUGCAGUGGGUACGGGCUGACUAGAGUGCAGUAGGGGGUGACUGGAAUUCCUGGUGUAGCGGUGGAAUGCGCAGAUAUCAGGAGGAACACCGAUGGCGAAGGCAGGUCACUGGGCCGCAACUGACGCUGAGGAGCGAAAGCAUGGGGAGCGAACAGGAUUAGAUAGCCCUGGUAGUCCAUGCCGUAAACGUUGGGCACUAGGUGUGGGUCCAUUCCACGGAUUCCGUGCCGCAGCAAAGCGCAUUAAGUGCCCCGCCUGGGGAGUACGGCCGCAAGGCUAAACUCAAAGG